rnacentral:lncRNA from 8 species
UGUAGGGGUCAGUUUCCCUGUAGAUACUGGGUCCCCUUUGUCAGUCUGACCCUCUCCGACCUUGGCUCCUCCCUGCUCAUCAUCUCUGGCUCCCUAUUGGCUAUGCUGACUAAGGGUCAGAGGUCACCAUGGUGCGAGGUUCAAAUUCACCUUCAUCACUUCCUCUAUUGGAAGCAUAGGUGAGACUCUCCUGGGCUUAGGUGUUACAAGACUGACUUUGAUGACCACUUACUGCCCUAACCAACUUCUCUUCCCACACACACCUUUUACCUUCCAUUCUCACUAUUCACUUCUAAACACCCACUCCUCUCCUCACACAUACAGCUUUUACAUCCAAUUCAACAAUCCUCAAUCCACUUACAUCUAUGGUGUAUACCAAAUAGCACUCUAUUUCCUAUGUAGUGCACUACUUUUAAAAACACUAAUUCCUCCCCUGUCCACAGCGAUUCUCUGCAUCCAGCGAGCCAAGGGCUUUGGUGCCACAGGGAGUGGCGCCUUUGUUUUCGUGGCGCUGGCUUGCCUGGCUUCCUGGUUGACAGGGGUGGUGUUUGGGAGCAUCCCUGUGGUCUACAACUGGAUCAGGUACGACCCUGCAGAGAUGCUGUGUGCAGUGUUCUGGGAGAGCAGUUACUCUGACAUGCUGGUCUAUAUCCUCUGUGCUUUCUCCAUCUUCUUCCCCUUCUGCUCUCUCUUCACUGCUGCUGGCUGUGGGAGGAACUGCGACAGUGACCCAGAUGACCUCUCCUGUCACUCCUCUGAUGGUCGCCUUCUACCUGCUCUGCUACACUCCAUUGUGUCUGAGGUGACACGCAUGCACGUGCACCCUCACUCUCCCCUGAAGCCAAUGGUUCUUUUUGAUCCCUCUCACCACAGCUGA